rnacentral:pre_miRNA from 1 species
CUAUCAACACAGGAAGGAGACAGAGAUAGGAAAGCGUUCUUUCCUAUCUCUGUCUCCUUCCUGUGUUGUCUU